AGAGUUUGAUCCUGGCUCAGGAUGAACGCUAGCGGCGUGCCUAAUGCAUGCAAGUCGAACGGGAAGCCUUGGAUUCGCCUGAGGUGGAGAGUGGCGAACGGGUGAGUAACGCGUAGGUGACCUGCCCCAGAGAGGGGGAUAACUAUUGGAAACGAUAGCUAAUACCCCGGAUGUCAACGCUUUUAGAAAGCGUUGACUAAAGCUCCGGCGCUCUGGGAGGGGCCUGCGUCCCAUCAGCUAGUUGGUGAGGUAAUGGCUCACCAAGGCAAAGACGGGUAGGGGGCGUGAGAGCGUGGCCCCCCACACUGGUACUGACACACGGACCAGAUACCUACGGGUAGCAGCAGCAAGGAAUAUUGCGCAAUGGACGAAAGUCUGACGCAGCAACGCCGCGUGGAGGAAGAAGGCCUUCGGGUUGUAAACUCCUUUUCUGGGGGAAGAGAAAGGACGGUACCCCAGGAAUAAGGCCCGGCUAACUACGUGCCAGCAGCCGCGGUAAAACGUAGGGGUCAAGCGUUAUCCGGAUUUACUGGGCGUAAAGCGCGUGUAGGCGGCUGCUUAAGUCGGACGUGAAAGCUCCUGGCUCAACUAGGAGAGGCCGUUCGAAACUAGGUAGCUUGAGGAUGGUAGAGGAGAGUGGAAUU
rnacentral:rRNA from 1 species